UUCAAAAAGAGCGUCAACCUGAAACAAAUACACCAAGUACGUUAUAAAAGAAAAAACAAAAUUGGUUGAACAAGAUGAAAGCUGUUCAAAGUCUAAAUAGUUUUAUUCAAAAAUGUAGAGUCGUGUUGUAAUAAUAUUGAUUUUGUGAUUAAAAUUAAUGCAUUUAUUAAUUUAAAACAAUUUAAGUGACAAUAAACCGUUAGUGGGUAGAACAACCCGUUUUGACCCAAACCUACCCGUUACCUAAGCCUUGUGGAUGAUCUCAAAAAGUUAUAGGUUGAAAGUCAUCCGAAGUCUAUUUUGAUGCAUACAAUCUCCUAUAUCGUUUUUAUUUAAGGACUCUAUUAUUAUUAUACAAUAAUAUUGCAUUUGUCACCAUAGUUAAGUCAUUAAUUAUUUGUAAACAAUCUAAAAAAAGUGUUUGCACAUCAGCCACUCGUUUGACCCAAACCUACCUGUUACCCGACCUACUGUUUUAUCUCCAAUGGUUCAAAUGGGUCAAAUAAAUAUAUA
rnacentral:lncRNA from 1 species